GACGGGGAUAACCUCGGGAAACUGAGAAUAAUACCCGAUAGAACAUUAUGCCUGGAAUGGUUUAUGUUUCAAAUAAUUUAUUGCCGUAGGAUGGGACUGCGGCCUAUCAGUUUGUUGGUGAGGUAAUGGCCCACCAAGACUAUUACAGGUACGGGCUCUGAGAGGAGUAGCCCGGAGAUGGGUACUGAGACACGGACCCAGGCCCUAUGGGGCGCAGCAGGCGAGAAAACUUUGCAAUGUGCGAAAGCACGACAAGGUUAAUCCGAGUGGUUUCUGCUAAAGGAACCUUUUGUCAGUCCUAGAAACACUGAUGAAUAAGGGGUGGGCAAGUUCUGGUGUCAGCCGCCGCGGUAAAACCAGCACCUCAAGUGGUCAGGAUGAUUAUUGGGCCUAAAGCAUCCGUAGCCUGCUUUGUUAGUUUUCGGUUAAAUCCAUACGCUCAACGUAUGGGCUGCCGGGAAUACUGCAAAGCUAGGGAGUGGGAGAGGUAGACGGUACUCGGUAGGAAGGGGUAAAAUCCUUUGAUCUAUUGAUGACCACCUGUGGCGAAGGCGGUCUACCAGAACACGUCCGACGGUGAGGGAUGAAAGCUGGGGGAGCAAACCGGAUUAGAUACCCGGGUAGUCCCAGCUGUAAACUAUGCAAACUCAGUGAUGCAUUGGCUUGAUGCCAAUGCAGUGCUGCAGGGAAGCCGUUAAGUUUGCCGCCUGGGAAGUACGUACGCAAGUACGAAACUUAAAGGAAUUGGCGGGGGAGCACCACAAGGGGUGAAGCCUGCGGUUCAAUUGGAGUCAACGCCGGA
rnacentral:rRNA from 1 species